rnacentral:rRNA from 1 species
AUGCUUGAAGUUGAUGACUGUCAUGUCCCUAGGCCAUUCGCUCAGUGGAUCGCCGACAAUGUCAGCAGAACAGAUGAAUCAAUUGUGCUCAGAGGCAAAUCUAUUCCUCUCAAUGCUGAAGUGGUAUCUUUGGUGCUUGGAAUACCAGCAGGGAGUACCCCAAUCAGCACACUCGACGAGGAGAUUGGCAAAACUGAGUUUCUCUCCUUGUUUGGACUAACGGAAGUGCCUUCAAUAAGUUUCUUCGGCAACAAGUUAUUGACUGAAGAAUUCUCAGAUGAAGAAUAUAUACGGUGCUUCUUGAUAGUUGCCCUUGCAACAUUUCUAUGCCCUACAUCCAACACCAAACCUAGCACAAAGUAUAUGGGAGCUCUAGUGGAUGUAUCAAAUCUGAAAAACCUCAACUGGUGCAACUUUGUCCACGAUUGGGGCAUGUGUUAUGUAAAGAAGAAUCAGAAAGAUAAGAUAAAGGAGAAACGGAUAACAACAACUUUGGGUGGCUGCAUAUACCACCUAGCAGUAAGUCCUUUUUUUCUUUUUUAA